rnacentral:rRNA from 1 species
GAUGAACGCUGGCGGCGUGCCUAAUACAUGCAAGUAGAACGCUGAAGCUUGGUGCUUGCACCGAGCGGAUGAGUUGCGAACGGGUGAGUAACGCGUAGGUAACCUGCCUCUUAGCGGGGGAUAACUAUUGGAAACGAUAGCUAAUACCGCAUAAAAGUCGAUAUCGCAUGAUAUUGAUUUGAAAGGUGCAAAUGCAUCACUAAGAGAUGGACCUGCGUUGUAUUAGCUAGUUGGUGAGGUAACGGCUCACCAAGGCGACGAUACAUAGCCGACCUGAGAGGGUGAUCGGCCACACUGGGACUGAGACACGGCCCAGACUCCUACGGGAGGCAGCAGUAGGGAAUCUUCGGCAAUGGGGGCAACCCUGACCGAGCAACGCCGCGUGAGUGAAGAAGGUUUUCGGAUCGUAAAGCUCUGUUGUAAGAGAAGAACGAGUGUGAGAGUGGAAAGUUCACGCUGUGACGGUAUCUUACCAGAAAG